rnacentral:rRNA from 1 species
GACGAACGCUGGCGGCGUGCCUAAUACAUGCAAGUCGAGCGGACAGAUGGGAGCUUGCUCCCUGAAGUCGGCGGCGGACGGGUGAGUAACACGUGGGCAACCUGCCUGUAAGACUGGGAUAACUUCGGGAAACCGGAGCUAAUACCGGAUACGUUCUUUUCUCGCAUGAGAGAAGAUGGAAAGAUGGCUUCGGCUAUCACUUACAGAUGGGCCCGCGGCGCAUUAGCUAGUUGGUGAGGUAAUGGCUCACCAAGGCAACGAUGCGUAGCCGACCUGACAGGGCGAUGGGCCACACUGGGACUGAGACACGGCCCAGAGUCCUACGGGAGGCAGCAGUAGGGAAUCUUCCGCAAUGGACGAAAGUCUGACGGAGCCACGCCGCGUGAACGAUGAAGGCCUUCGGGUCGUAAAGUUCUGUUGUUAGGGAAGAACAAGUACCAGAGUAACUGCUGGUACCUUGACGGUACCUAACCAGAAAGCCACGGCUAACUACGUGCCAGCCGCCGCCGUAAAAC